AUGAGCACUGUGUUCUCACCAAACCAGGUGAAGCAUAAACAACAAUCAAGGUUUCAUUUGUUUUUGUUGUUUAUUUUGCAGGUUCGGUGUCUAGACUUCAACAAUUUUGGAUCAAUAACAAUUCCACCAGCACUACCCAGGGUUUGUUUCUGGAAAGGACAAACCAUUAAACAUUUCAGUGAUAUGCUAAUUGGGAAAGAUGGACUCUAUGAAGCUCUUCAAAUAAAAGAUGAGGCAGAAACUUGUUAUGCAGAAACUGACGGUGCAUGGGCAAGCACCGCCAAGAACUCAAACAUCCGAAAAGCUAUACAAAGGGUCUUAGGGAACUCUUUUUCAGAUAAGAUCAAAGAAGAUAUAUUCCUCAAUUUCCAGGAGCGCGUAAAAGAUCAAAACCGGACGACAUGUCUCAUAGCAAAACAAGUGUUGCUGGAUACUUUGAACAUUGUGUCUUCUUCUUUUAAUGUCUCUCAACAUACAGAGAAGUUAGAGUCAUCCGAGCACUUGUACAUGCCAUCCGAUGAAGAUAUUGGGUCUGGCAGUACUAUUAGAGUUGAUUCUAAUGGGAUUGAAAUUGGCAGUGAUCGAAGAGGCAGGAAGAAGAGAAUGAAGACGAGUUCACAGCAGUCAAUAACUUCAACAAGUAAGGAUGUAUUGUUGCAAGAUAAAACAAAGCAAAGCACACCUGAAGUUGACAAACAAGGAGUCAAAGCUGAAUUGCAACCAAUACCGUGGAAUGGUCCUAUUAAUGAGCACAAAGAUCAAGAUGAAAUGGAAGUAAAUUUUGAAAUUGGUAAAGGAUGUACACAUACAGUUGGACAAUCAGUGCGUGCUGAAUGCAUUGCACUGCAACAAGAAGCCCACAAGGGAGAAAGCAUGAACAAGGUUGGCCCUCCUAAACACAACCAAGACACAAAUAUGUUGGACGGACAUAGCAACAUCCUCGAGAGCAGUGUCAAUGCUUGUCCUAUUGAAAUAGAAGCACCAGAGAAAACCACUAGCCUGAACUACAUGCUAUUAUUAGCUAGAUUGGCAAAAGCAGUGAUGGGCACGACACAAGUUAACAAUUCAAAGGAAGUAUCCACGAGAGAUGUACGGACAAGAUUUUCAGGGUUUCAACAUAACAUUGUUAACAACAAUAAAACACAGCAUUGCAUAGACACUAGUACCAUGGAGCAAUGA
rnacentral:rRNA from 1 species